GGUUAAGCGACUAAGCGUACACGGUGGAUGCCCUGGCAGUCAGAGGCGAUGAAGGACGUGCUAAUCUGCGAAAAGCGCCGGCGAGGUGAUAUGAACCUUUGACCCGGCGAUGUCCGAAUGGGGAAACCCAGUGUGAUUCGUCACACUAUCGUUAACUGAAUACAUAGGUUAACGAGGCGAACCGGGGGAACUGAAACAUCUAAGUACCCCGAGGAAAAGAAAUCAACCGAGAUUCCCCCAGUAGCGGCGAGCGAACGGGGAGCAGCCCAGAGUCUGAAUCAGCUUGUGUGUUAGUGGAAGCGUCUGGAAAGUCGCACGGUACAGGGUGACAGUCCCGUACACGAAAGCACACAGGUUGUGAACUCGAAGAGUAGGGCGGGACACGUGGUAUCCUGUCUGAAUAUGGGGGGACCAUCCUCCAAGGCUAAAUACUCCUGACUGACCGAUAGUGAACCAGUACCGUGAGGGAAAGGCGAAAAGAACCCCGGCGAGGGGAGUGAAAAAGAACCUGAAACCGUGUACGUACAAGCAGUGGGAGCACCUUCGUGGUGUGACUGCGUACCUUUUGUAUAAUGGGUCAGCGACUUAUAUUCUGUAGCAAGGUUAACCGUAUAGGGGAGCCGAAGGGAAACCGAGUCUUAACUGGGCGUUAAGUUGCAGGGUAUAGACCCGAAACCCGGUGAUCUAGCCAUGGGCAGGUUGAAGGUUGGGUAACACUAACUGGAGGACCGAACCGACUAAUGUUGAAAAAUUAGCGGAUGACUUGUGGCUGGGGGUGAAAGGCCAAUCAAACCGGGAGAUAGCUGGUUCUCCCCGAAAGCUAUUUAGGUAGCGCCUCGUGAACUCAUCUUCGGGGGUAGAGCACUGUUUCGGCUAGGGGGCCAUCCCGGCUUACCAACCCGAUGCAAACUACGAAUACCGAAGAAUGUUAUCACGGGAGACACACGGCGGGUGCUAACGUCCGUCGUGAAGAGGGAAACAACCCAGACCGCCAGCUAAGGUCCCAAAGUCAUGGUUAAGUGGGAAACGAUGUGGGAAGGCACAGACAGCCAGGAUGUUGGCUUAGAAGCAGCCAUCAUUUAAAGAAAGCGUAAUAGCUCACUGGUCGAGUCGGCCUGCGCGGAAGAUGUAACGGGGCUAAACCAUGCACCGAAGCUGCGGCAGCGACACUAUGUGUUGUUGGGUAGGGGAGCGUUCUGUAAGCCGUUGAAGGUGUGCUGUGAGGCAUGCUGGAGGUAUCAGAAGUGCGAAUGCUGACAUAAGUAACGAUAAAGCGGGUGAAAAGCCCGCUCGCCGGAAGACCAAGGGUUCCUGUCCAACGUUAAUCGGGGCAGGGUGAGUCGACCCCUAAGGCGAGGCCGAAAGGCGUAGUCGAUGGGAAACAGGUUAAUAUUCCUGUACUUGGUGUUACUGCGAAGGGGGGACGGAGAAGGCUAUGUUAGCCGGGCGACGGUUGUCCCGGUUUAAGCAUGUAGGCGGAACGAUUAGGUAAAUCCGGUCGUUUUUUAACGCUGAGGUGUGAUGACGAGGCACUACGGUGCUGAAGUAACAAAUGCCCUGCUUCCAGGAAAAGCCUCUAAGCAUCAGGUAACAUCAAAUCGUACCCCAAACCGACACAGGUGGUCAGGUAGAGAAUACCAAGGCGCUUGAGAGAACUCGGGUGAAGGAACUAGGCAAAAUGGUGCCGUAACUUCGGGAGAAGGCACGCUGAUAUGUAGGUGAAGCCCCUGCGGGUGGAGCUGAAAUCAGUCGAAGAUACCAGCUGGCUGCAACUGUUUAUUAAAAACACAGCACUGUGCAAACACGAAAGUGGACGUAUACGGUGUGACGCCUGCCCGGUGCCGGAAGGUUAAUUGAUGGGGUUAGCGGCAACGCGAAGCUCUUGAUCGAAGCCCCGGUAAACGGCGGCCGUAACUAUAACGGUCCUAAGGUAGCGAAAUUCCUUGUCGGGUAAGUUCCGACCUGCACGAAUGGCGUAAUGAUGGCCAGGCUGUCUCCACCCGAGACUCAGUGAAAUUGAACUCGCUGUGAAGAUGCAGUGUACCCGCGGCAAGACGGAAAGACCCCGUGAACCUUUACUAUAGCUUGACACUGAACACUGGUCCUUGAUGUGUAGGAUAGGUGGGAGGCUUUGAAGUGUGGACGCCAGUCUGCAUGGAGCCGUCCUUGAAAUACCACCCUUUAAUGGCUGGUGUUCUAACGUAGACCCGUAAUCCGGGUUGCGGACAGUGUCUGGUGGGUAGUUUGACUGGGGCGGUCUCCUCCCAAAGAGUAACGGAGGAGCACGAAGGUUAGCUAAUCCUGGUCGGACAUCAGGAGGUUAGUGCAAUGGCAUAAGCUAGCUUGACUGCGAGAGUGACGGCUCGAGCAGGUGCGAAAGCAGGUCAUAGUGAUCCGGUGGUUCUGAAUGGAAGGGCCAUCGCUCAACGGAUAAAAGGUACUCCGGGGAUAACAGGCUGAUACCGCCCAAGAGUUCAUAUCGACGGCGGUGUUUGGCACCUCGAUGUCGGCUCAUCACAUCCUGGGGCUGAAGUAGGUCCCAAGGGUAUGGCUGUUCGCCAUUUAAAGUGGUACGCGAGCUGGGUUUAGAACGUCGUGAGACAGUUCGGUCCCUAUCUGCCGUGGGCGCUGGAGAAUUGAGGGGGGCUGCUCCUAGUACGAGAGGACCGGAGUGGACGCAUCACUGGUGUUCGGGUUGUCAUGCCAAUGGCACUGCCCGGUAGCUAAAUGCGGAAAAGAUAAGUGCUGAAAGCAUCUAAGCACGAAACUUGCCCCGAGAUGAGUUCUCCCUGAGACUUUAAGUCUCCUGAAGGAACGUUGAAGACGACGACGUUGAUAGGUCGGGUGUGUAAGCGCAGCGAUGCGUUGAGCUAACCGAUACUAAUGAACCGUGAGGCUUAACCUU
rnacentral:rRNA from 1 species